rnacentral:lncRNA from 1 species
GGUAGGACCCUCCGAGCCAGGUGCGGGAUGUAAUCUCGUGGUGUGCCGUUUUUUAAGCCCGUCGGAAAAGCGCAGUAUUCGGGUGGGAGUGACCCGAUUUUCCAGGUGCCAUCGGUCACCCCUUUCUUUGAUUAGGAUAGAGAACUCCCUGACCCCUUGCGCUUCCCGAGUGAGGCAUUGCCUCACCUUGCUUUGGCUCGCACACGGUGCGUGCACCCACUGACCUGCGUCCACUGGCUGGCACUCCCUAGUGAGAUGAACCGGGUACCUCAGAUUGAAAUGCAGAAAUCACCCGUCUUCUGCGUCGCUCAGGCUGGGAGCUGUAGACGGGAGCUGUUCCUAUUCGGCCAUCUUGGCUCCUCCCUCCUCUGUUGCUUUCUUAAAGGCAACCACUAUGCAGACUCAUACACGUGGGAAGAUUACCUUUCUCUGAUGUCUUGGGAUUGAACUGAGCUAUGUGGCUAGUUACAGGCCAAUAGGCUGUUAGCAGAUGUGACAUCUAACACAACUAGGCUGCAGUUUGAAAUAAAUACCAGUGCACAGCCUCCAGAAUUCCUCCCCUGCUAAGGUGACUGAGAAGACCUCAGCUGAGAUGGUGGGAAAAAAAAAUAUUCAAGCAGCUUGGAUAACGAAGUUCCUAAAUGGAAGAACAUUGUCCCAGAGAGUCACUUGAACCCAGAAUAGAUUUACGUGAUCAGACAAUAAACCUCUAUGACACCCUGAGUUUAUUUUGUUUUUUGAUUUUGUUACUGCAGCAUAACUCAACAUACCCUGACUGGUAUAGUCAUGGAGAUUAUCAUCAGGAUCUCCUAUGCUCCUGCAUAUGACACAGCCAGAGUUCUGCAGACAUUUAACUUUGGGCAUCUAAAUAUCAUAAAUGC